GGGGAUGUAGCUCAGUGCUAGAGUGUUUGCUUGGCAUGCAUGAGGUCCUAGGUUCCAUCCCCA
rnacentral:tRNA from 1 species